rnacentral:lncRNA from 1 species
UGGAAAUGAGGGAUUCUAUAACCUGCUGUGUGUGCUUCUUACCCUGCUGUUGGGCUUUGCGCCGUCGAUCGGACAAAUCGUCAAAGAGAAAUGUUCAGCCGCCGUGUCAAUGUUCCAAGAAUGGAGAGCUCGUCCUUCCCUCUGCCGUCACUGCGGUACUGCCCCGUGUCAGGUUAAAAGGAGAUCCUUGUGGAAGCCCUCCGGUACUCGUAAGAAAGACAAGGCAAAUUUCGCAAAAAGGUCAAACGCCAUGAUGUUGUUUUACUGUGGACUAGAUUUGUCCGUGGUACUGAACAAAGAGCUGCCACUGGAUGACCUGUACUGGAAGAGGAAGCUGGUCCAGCAUUUUGAGGAGGAACAUAUGGUGUUCUUCCCACUCUGCAUCCAGCGUCAUAUCAACUACUGGUACCCUGUCCCUCGCUAGAUUCGUUUCGUCGUUCAAAGAGAAGAAUGUGGAUUGCAGUCGGUGAUGGAAAUAGAAGUUUGAGAUUGACGUCAAAGACUCG